rnacentral:rRNA from 1 species
GUGAACGCUGGCGGUAGGCCUAACACAUGCAAGUCGCACGGCAGCACAGUAAGAGCUUGCUCUUACGGGUGGCGAGUGGCGGACGGGUGAGGAAUACAUCGGAAUCUACUUUUUCGUGGGGGAUAACGUAGGGAAACUUACGCUAAUACCGCAUACGACCUACGGGUGAAGGCAGGGGAUCUUCGGACCUUGCGCGAUUGAAUGAGCCGAUGUCGGAUUAGCUAGUUGGCGGGGUAAAGGCCCACCAAGGCGACGAUCCGUAGCUGGUCUGAGAGGAUGAUCAGCCACACUGGAACUGAGACACGGUCCAGACUCCUACGGGAGGCAGCAGUGGGGAAUAUUGGACAAUGGGCGCAAGCCUGAUCCAGCCAUACCGCGUGGGUGAAGAAGGCCUUCGGGUUGUAAAGCCCUUUUGUUGGGAAAGAAAAGCAGCAGGUUAAUACCCCGCUGUUCUGACGGUACCCAAAGAAUAAGCACCGGCUAACUUCGUG